GUCUCAAUGCGAGAGUUCACUUGAGAGGAGUCAGGUUUGCAAAUAAGAUGUUCAGGUGACACCAUGUCCUACUACUUCAGCAGACUGAGGCCUUUCAAUGGGGCGAGCACCACCUUAGUUGCUUCAUUCUUCCACAUGAGAAGCUUAGUAGGAUAUCCCCACCUAUAAGCAAUGUUGUGGUUGGGCAGGAGUUUGGAGACAUAUAUGAUGCAAAACAAGGCUAUGUUGC